rnacentral:rRNA from 1 species
AGUGAACGCUGGCGGCAGGCCUAACACAUGCAAGUCGAACGGCAGCACAGGGGGUAGCAAUACCCUGGGUGGCGAGUGGCGGACGGGUGAGGAAUACGUCGGAAUCUGCCUAUUUGUGGGGGAUAACGUAGGGAAACUUACGCUAAUACCGCAUACGACCUACGGGUGAAAGCGGAGGACCUUCGGGCUUCGCGCAGAUAGAUGAGCCGACGUCGGAUUAGCUAGUUGGCGGGGUAAAGGCCCACCAAGGCGACGAUCCGUAGCUGGUCUGAGAGGAUGAUCAGCCACACUGGAACUGAGACACGGUCCAGACUCCUACGGGAGGCAGCAGUGGGGAAUAUUGGACAAUGGGCGCAAGCCUGAUCCAGCCAUGCCGCGUGUGUGAAGAAGGCCU